AGAAUCAACGCUGGCGGCGUGCCUAACACACGCAAGUCGAACGAGAAGGUGGAGCAAUCCAUGAGUAAAGUGGCGCACGGGUGAGUAACACGUGACUAACCUACCCUUGAGUGGGGGAUAACCUAGGGAACCUGGGCUAAUACCGCAUAAUACCUUCGGGUCAAAGGAGCAAUUCGCUUAAGGAGGGGGUCGCGGCCGAUUAGUUAGUUGGCGGGGUAAUGGCCCACCAAGACUGUGAUCGGUAU
rnacentral:rRNA from 1 species